UACGUAGGGUGCAAGCAUUAAUCGGAAUUAUUGGGCGUAAAGGGCGCGUAGGCGGAUUUAUAAGUCAGUUGUGAAAUUCCAAGGCUCACCCUUGGAACUGCAUUUGAUACUGUAAAUCUUUAGAGGAAUGGCGGAGAAAACGGAAUUCCACAUGUAGCGGUGAAAUGCGUGGAUAUGUGGAGGAACACCUGUGGCGAAAGCGGUUUUCUGGCUUUUUCCUGACGCUGAGGCGCGAGAGCAAGGGGAGCAA
rnacentral:rRNA from 1 species